rnacentral:rRNA from 1 species
UACGAAGGGGGCUAGCGUUGCUCGGAAUUACUGGGCGUAAAGCGCACGUAGGCGGAUUGUUAAGUCGGGGGUGAAAUCCUGGAGCUCAACUCCAGAACUGCCUUCGAUACUGGCGAUCUCGAGUUCGGGAGAGGUGAGUGGAACUGCGAGUGUAGAGGUGAAAUUCGUAGAUAUUCGCAAGAACACCAGUGGCGAAGGCGCUCACUGGCCCGAUACUGACGCUGAGGCACGAAAGCGUGGGGAGCAAACAGGG